UACAGAGGGUGCGAGCGUUGUUCGGAAUUAUUGGGCGUAAAGCGCUUGUAGGCGGCUUGUUAAGUUCCGUGUGAAAUCCCCAGGCUUAACCUGGGAAGUGCGCGGAAAAACUGGCGAGCUUGAGUGCCGGAGAGGGGUCGCGGGAAUUCCCGGUGUAGGAGGUGAAAUUCGUAGAUAUCGGGAGGAACACCAGUGGCGGAAGGCGGCGACCUGGACGGACACUGACGCUGAGACGCGAAAGCGUGGGAGCAAAGCAGGG
rnacentral:rRNA from 1 species